AUUUUAUCUGAAAUGCAACUAUUAAAAUAUUGAUAUAGAGGGAAGCAUAAAUUACGCAUGAUCCUAAUAUAUUAAAGAAUAAGAGUACCGAUCAAUUUCCUUUCGUAUUGGUUGAAACAGUCGUAGCUGUUGCUUACAAUAUUGUUGGGAAUCGAUACCAUGUGGGUGGUAAGAGAUCGUAUGAAGUUAUGAAAAAAAGUAUUCAAUAAGCAGCAUAGAUAUAUUACAAUGCGUUAUAUAGAACUGGAUAAUUUGAGUAUGUAGCGGGUUUUGGAGAUAAAAGCAAUAGUAUUAAUUAGCAUUUUGAAGUUUCGUUUAUUCAUUUGUAGAGAUUUUUCAAAUCUAGAAAAAUUUAAAGAUCUCUUAAUUUUGUAUCUUUUUUUUUUUUUUUAUCAGUUUGAUAGAAUGUUUGUAUGUAAUUCUUUCUAAUAACAUGCGACGUUUGUUGUGCCCCU